rnacentral:rRNA from 1 species
CGCAGCCGCGGUAAUUCCAGCUCCAAUAGCGUAUAUUAAAGUUGCUGCAGUUAAAAAGCUCGUAGUUGAAUUUCGGGACUAAUAUGUCGGUCGUGCCUCGGUACGUACUGGUAUUUUUGGUUUCUCCCUUCUGACGAACCUUGAUGUCAUUAAUUUGGUGUCUUGGGAAAUCAGGACUGUUACUUUGAAAAAAUUAGAGUGUUUAAAGCAGGCUCACGCUUGAAUACAUUAGCAUGGAAUAAUGAAAUAGGACGUUUGAUUCUAUUUUGUUGGUUUCUAGGAUCGACGUAAUGAUUAAUAGGGAUAGUUGGGGGCAUUAGUAUUCAAUUGUCAGAGGUGAAAUUCUUGGAUUUAUUGAAGACUAACUACUGCGAAAGCAUUUGCCAAGGAUGUUUUCAUUAAUCAAGAACGAAAGUUAGGGGAUCGAAGACGAUCAGAUACCGUCGUAGUCUUAACCAUAAACCAUGCCGACUAGGGAUCGGAUGAUGUUAAUUUUUUAAUGACUCAUUCGGCGCCUUAC